rnacentral:lncRNA from 1 species
GUGACGUAUAUUCUACGCGCCGUGGAAAUAUAAAAUUAAAGGUUUCCGUCCGCUUGUUCUUUUCGUCCAGAUGGCUGUACUUGCAAUAAUGUUACGGAAAUGUUUAAUUAUAUUAUCGAUUCAAGUAGCUCAGUCUCCCUGAAACUGCGACUUGGUGUAUUAAAUUAGGUAGUACGUUAUUUGUUUCGUGAAGAAAUGGCGCGUUCGGAGAAGAGUAAUUUGGAUGUGUUCGUUCGUCACAACGGUCAACAACUCGCCUUCAUGUUUCUACAGGAGACCAUGUUGGUGGAUGGGACUUGAACUGGACCAUUGAUCUAGGCUUCUCACCUGACCUGGGGUGUGAUGUUGCAGGUAUGCUGUGUGAGUGGAAACUUGAACACAUCAGCUCACAGUAUGGGACUAGGGGCUCAUGAGAGGUGGAUGACCCAUUUGCUGUGUGAAAUGAAGACAUUUGGACAUGCUGGUGUCACCUGA